GACGAACGCUGGCGGCGUGCCUAAUACAUGCAAGUCGAACGCUUCUUUUUCCACCGGAGCUUGCUCCACCGGAAAAAGAAGAGUGGCGAACGGGUGAGUAACACGUGGGUAACCUGCCCAUCAGAAGGGGAUAACACUUGGAAACAGGUGCUAAUACCGUAUAACAAUCAAAACCGCAUGGUUUUGAUUUGAAAGGCGCUUUCGGGUGUCGCUGAUGGAUGGACCCGCGGUGCAUUAGCUAGUUGGUGAGGUAACGGCUCACCAAGGCGACGAUACAUAGCCGACCUGAGAGGGUGAUCGGCCACAUUGGGACUGAGACACGGCCCAAACUCCUACGGGAGGCAGCAGUAGGGAAUCUUCGGCAAUGGACGAAAGUCUGACCGAGCAACGCCGCGUGAGUGAAGAAGGUUUUCGGAUCGUAAAACUCUGUUGUUAGAGAAGAACAAGGAUGAGAGUAACUGUUCAUCCCUUGACGGUAUCUAACCAGAAAGCCACGGCUAACUACGUGCCAGCAGCCGCGGUAAU
rnacentral:rRNA from 1 species